CCAUUCUUGUGAGUCUCCUGCCUUUUUCACUCCUCUGCUAACACCAAGGAUUUGGUCUAGUCCCAAGAUCCUCCAGAGAGGAGAGAAAACUGAAGCUCAGAGUGAAAUGUCUGAAAGAAGAGCAAGGCUGGCAGAAGCUGAAGACCCAUGAUGGGUUGAUAAGAAGAGGUCAAAAUUAAUCUAUUGGAAAUUAAUAUAAUUGGAUCUAGUUUAAGAGAAUUAUGGGGAAAAUUGAAGUUUAAGGAAUCUGAAGCUUAGAUCUGGUAUCUGUUGUUACAGAUACAGUCAGUGAGCUGACUGGGGAAAAAUUCACAAAGAGGAUAAAAAAGAGAAAAUAAGACUAUGCUGUAAAAAAAAAUAGAUAGAAAACUAGGUUAUAGUAUUAGCUUUUAUACUGCCUCUACCACUAGAAUACAUGAUUUCACAUAUCUGAAUUUAUUUCUUCAUCGCUAAAAUGAGUGGGAUAUAGCUUCAAUCAAGAACUCUCCACUUAUUUUAUGUCAUGGAUCCCUUUUUAGAAAAAUAAUUUUAAAUAAUUGAUUGAAAGGCUAAAUUUCAGCUAGAGACUUGUAAAACAUAAAGUUGUAAUUUCUUCACUUACAAAUUCAUGGGUUCUCUGAAAUCUAUCCAUGAACACUUGGGGAAAAUGGGAGUAACUUCAAGUUAAGACUCCCUUGGACUAAAUGAUCUCUGAGAUAUCUUACA